GAGACCUCCUCUACCGCAAGCCCAGAUUCACAUAACUUAGCUCUUGACAAAUGAAUAAAUAAAUAGCUCUGCAGAUUGAUAAAUGUGAGAAAUCCUACACACCAGGUUCCUCUCCCCACAAAAACUCAGCAGCUCCUUUAAAGUCCUGACAAGUCUAACAUUACAGGAACAUGCUGGCAAGUCCAUUGUUACAGGAACAUGUUGAUUUAUUCAACUGAACGCCUCCAAACUUAUCUACUACAAACUAUUCUUUUCCUAGAAUGCCCGGGUGCGGAAUAUAUUUCUGGAAACACCACCCUUCCUCGGAAGAGAGGGAACCACAGGACAAGUGGGGCUCCCAUGGGAUGUUACAUCUUAACAACCAGUUCUAAGACCUCCAGAUGUUCAAGUCAGGAGCCUAUUUCAAAGGAAGCCCAUCUUCCAUCUCAGACUUCUAGAAAGAUUCUGGAAAAAGUCUUCAAAAUCUGCAGCAUCUCAGUGCCCACUUGCUCCUGAUUUGAGAACAGGUCACUGGAACUCCAAGCAAAGCCAAAGUCCCUAAAGGGAGACCACGUCUCAGCCUUCACCUUCCUGCCCACAGUCGAGCAACUCUCCAGACACCUCAUCACCAGCCACUGUGCAGCUCGUAUUAGUUACAGGUGAUGGCGAUUAGAGGCAGCAUCACCCAGGCUCCUGGGAGAAUAUUGAAUCAGAAAUAUAGCUAUUUUAGGACUUUAAGCAGAUUUAUACUUAGUGCUUCAAAGAGAGCCAGCCAGCAAGGAAAAUAUGGUAACUGUUGCUUUAAAUUAUAGCUAUCAUUACUUCAAAAGGCUAUUCAAUCAGAAGCCACUGAAGGCUAAAACCAUUUACAUCUCCUGACACUUAAAAGCAAGCAAGCGGUUGCAGUUUGACAGCCUUGGACACACUGACCACAAGGAGUCCUAGCCCUUGGUGAGCUGCAAAGGAAAGCAUGUCCUAGAAAGCGGGAAUGAAAGGUGAUCUGGAGUCCUGGCUGGUGCCUCCAUCUCUCACUACAGCCUAGGGAGGAUUUGGGGUGUGGGGUGUGGGGAUAUUGUCUGGUUCUAACCUCUUGAAAGGCUGAUUUUUCAGUCUGCCUGGCCUCUGGCCUUCAGGGCCCUAUAGUGGGAAAUCCUGCUUGGUCCCAUUAGUGCAAGUGCCAGGUUGGGGCUGUCCCCUCCUUCCUGGGUUGUGAGGUAGAGACUGACAGGAGGCUGGCUCAUAUAUGGGUCAGAAUCUGAGCUAGUGGUGUUGCCAAAAGCAGGGCUUUGCAAGCAGACUUCUCCAGGUUAGAGUUCAGGCUAUUAUUUAAUGUGCUUCUUGGACAAGACAAACUCUCAGAGGGAGUGAUUCAAGUCCCUAUUUCAUAGAAGCUUAAACUGAGAUGAGGGAUACUAAGUACUUCAUUUAAGUGAUGCUAGACACCGAAUCAAAUGCAUCCCAGGUCGUGCCUCACUGCCACAUUUAUCGGCAUCACCAAUCAGUUCUAAGUGGCUCAGGGUAGGCACUUGUAUCCAGGGGGUAGCCAUGAUGGUUUGGGGAGCUCCAGCCUUCUCCAUUAUCUCUUAGGUUCUGGAGUUGUCUGCUUCUCACUCCAGGGCGAAGAGAAGGAUGGCACAGGGCCGAGGGAGAAUCGUUGAGAUGCAGAGACACUAAGAUUUCAGGGGUCCAUGAACUACACACUCCUGUGAAGUCAGCAUAGCCUGGCCUCUGAGUUAAUGUCCUUCCUUAGCAUCUGUUCUUGGACUGUCACAUUAGUCACCCAGACCCUCUAUCUCUGCUGGUCACAGUCUCACUCUGGAAGAAUCUGGCACAUAGGUAGAUUUUGACUCCACAGACUCUGGCUGGGGGAAUUUGAGCUGUAAAACCCAGACCUCCACCACAUUCCCUCCACAACACAUACAGAUUAGCAAAUGCCACUGAGCAGGUGACAGGAGCUAGAGAAAGGAAUUACAAACAUCUUCUACAGCAGAGGCUAGCCACAGUUCAGGGACCAAGCCAAAUCCCCUGCCUGCUUCUGCAAACAUUUUCCUGGGAUGCUGAUCCACUUUGAUAGAAGGGAGUCUGGGAAACAUAGUCAGUGGCUGAGUCCCUGGUAGGCAGGAGAAGCUCAAAUGUUCAGUGGACAGAAAUAUGCUGUCUGCCACGAGCACUUCCUACAGGGGUGUUCGUUGAUUUUAGCAUCAUUUUAACCUGUUGUUUUCUAAUACAAACUUGCAGCUGCACAAAUGAGAUGCAGAGGGCUUUGUGCAAGACUACAGCCGAUAAAUGGCAGAAGCAGAGUUAGAAGCCAACUCUCUAGCCUACCUCAGGAACUAGGGAAAAGAAAAGGUCUACCAAGGCUGUUUGUCUUGGGUGGAGACUUGAAAGGUGUCCUGUAGUCCUGUCCUGUGUUGCCAGUAUUCUCUCUCUCUCUCUCUCUCUCUCUCUCUCUCUCUCUCUCUCUCUCUCUCUCUCUCUCUCUCUCUCUGUGUGUGUGUGUGUGUGUGUGUGUGUGUGUGUGUGUGUGUGUUUCAGAAAGCCAGUGUUUUAGGGCUGCUUAUAGUUUUGCAGUACAGGAUGGCCAACUUUAUUUUCUGCCUAUCUUCCUGGGUCCUCCCAACCUUCCCUGCUCACCCAGAGCCCCUCUCCCACAGUUAGGCCCUCCUUCUCUAUCCAGAACCUUCCUCUAGCCAGCAAGAGUCCCAGCAGACCCCAUGGUUGGGUGGAGGCCCAUGUUCUCAGGAAGUGCUCACCUGCCCCUGCUGGGUUGUUGCUUCUUUCUCCCUGCCCCACUAUGCUCAAGCCUGGACAAGUGACAUGUCCUGUUCCUCUAUUGUCGGGCAGGAAUUGGGUGACCUAAGUAGACACACAGAUUGUGUGAAGUUCAGUGAGGGUGGGCAGGCAGUGGCACCAGAAAAAGUCAGGUGCUGUGUGUUAGCUGGACAAGUUACUUCCCUCUCUGAGCUUGCACUUGCCCUUUACUAGCCAGUUCCAUCUCCUUUACUCUCCGUGCGGGGAUACAGAGGGUGGAGUAAAGGUCUGAUUAAGACAGCGACUUACAUAGUGGACAUUUGUUGGCCGUAAUAAAUUCUGUUUCCUUUUAGUGAUAGUCA
rnacentral:lncRNA from 1 species